rnacentral:snoRNA from 1 species
GUUGUUAUUACUCGCAAUUAUUAUUGCGUGAUGGGUGUCCGCCCCAAAGCCUGGUUACAACAAUCAGGGCACCCCUAUUUGUUGCCAUCUGA